rnacentral:rRNA from 1 species
UGAGGAAUAUUGGACAAUGGGCGAAAGCCUGAUCCAGCCAUGCCGCGUGAGUGAAGAAGGCCCUAGGGUUGUAAAGCUCUUUUAGACGUGAAGAUAAUGACGGUAACGUCAGAAAAAGCUCCGGCUAACUCCGUGCCAGCAGCCGCGGUAAUACGGGGGGAGCGAGCGUUGUUCGGAAUCACUGGGCGUAAAGCGUGCGCAGGCGGAUUGACAAGUCAGAAGUGAAAUCCCGGGGCUCAACCCCGGAACUGCUUUUGAAACUGUCUUUCUAGAGUAUGGUAGAGGUUGGGAGAAUUCCUAGUGUAGAGGUGAAAUUCGUAGAUAUUAGGAGGAAUACCAGUGGCGUAGGCGCCCAACUGGACCAUUACUGACGCUCAGGCACGAAAGCGUGGGGAGCAAACAGGAUUAGAUACCCCCGUAGUCC